AUUCUGAUAGUUUAUUAAAAUAUUGAUUUGUGGGGUCAAAGUAGUCAAUUAUGACUUAGA
rnacentral:tRNA from 1 species